GACGAACGCUGGCGGCGUGCUUAACACAUGCAAGUCGAACGGAAAGGCCCUGCUUUUGUGGGGUGCUCGAGUGGCGAAAGGGUGAGUAACACGUGAGUAACCUGCCCUUGACUUUGGGAUAACUUCAGGAAACUGGGGCUAAUACCGGAUAGGAGCUCCUGCUGCAUGGUGGGGGUUGGAAAGUUUCGGCGGUUGGGGAUGGACUCGCGGCUUAUCAGCUUGUUGGUGGGGUAGUGGCUUACCAAGGCUUUGACGGGUAGCCGGCCUGGGAGGGUGACCAGCCACAAUGGGACUGAGAUACGGCCCAGACGCCUACGGGAGGCAGCGGUGGGGAAUAUUGCACAAUGGGCGGAAGCCUGAUGCAGCAACGCCGCGUGCGGGAUGACGGCCUUCGGGUUGUAAACCGCUUUCGCCUGUGACGAAGCGUGAGUGACGGUAAUGGGUAAAGAAGCACCGGCUAACUACGUG
rnacentral:rRNA from 1 species